rnacentral:rRNA from 1 species
GACGAACGCUGGCGGCGUGCCUAAUACAUGCAAGUAGAACGCACAGUUUAUACCGUAGCUUGCUACACCAUAGACUGUGAGUUGCGAACGGGUGAGUAACGCGUAGGUAACCUGCCUGGUAGCGGGGGAUAACUAUUGGAAACGAUAGCUAAUACCGCAUAAUAUUGAUUAUUGCAUGAUAAUUGAUUGAAAGAUGCUAUUGCAUCACUACCAGAUGGACCUGCGUUGUAUUAGCUAGUAGGUGAGGUAACGGCUCACCUAGGCGACGAUACAUAGCCGACCUGAGACGGUGAUCGGCCACACUGGGACUGGGACACGGCCCAGACUCCUACGGGAGGCAGCAGUAGGGAAUCUUCGGCAAUGGACGAAAGUCUGACCGAGCAACGCCGCGUGAGUGAAGAAGGUUUUCGGAUCGUAAAGCUCUGUUGUAAGAGAAGAACGGGCGUGAGAGUGGAAAGUUCACACUGUGACGGUAUCUGACCAGAAAGGGACGGCUAACUACGUG